rnacentral:rRNA from 1 species
AGUGGAUGGGGAGCAACCUAGUUGUGCGUGUGUAAAGGUAGUGCCAAGAAAAGCGAUGAUCAUGUUGAAAAUCAAUUCCCGGUACCCGAAACCGACACAGGUGGGCAAGUAGAGAAUACUAAGGGGCGCGAGGUAACUCUCUCCAAGGAACUCGGCAAAAUGACCCCGUAACUUAGGGAGAAGGGGUGCCACCGAGAGGUGGUCGCAGUGAAGAGGCCCAGGCGACUGUUUAGCAAAAACAUAGGUCUCUGCAAGCUCGAAAGAGGAGGUAUAGGGGCUGACGCCCGCCCAGUGCCGGAAGGUUAAAGAAGUUGGUCAGUCUUAGGAUGAAGCUAGCGACUGAAGCCCCGGUGUACGGCGGCCGUAACUAUAACGGUCCUAAGGUAGCGAAAUUCCUUGUCGGGUAAGUUCCGACCCGCACGAAAGGCGUAACGAUCUGGGCGCUGUCUCGGAGAGAGGCUCGGCGAAAUAGGAUUGUCUGUGAAGAUACGGACUACCUGCAUUUGGACAGAAAGACCCUAUGAAGCUUUACUAUAGCUUGGAAUUGUGUUCGGGCUUCCUGUGCGCAGGAUAGGUGGGAGGCGUAGAAGGUGUUCUUGUGGGGAUACUGGAGCCAACGGUGAGAUACCACUCUCAGGAGGCUAGAAUUCUAACUUAAUUAAGGACAGUUUCAGGUGGGUAGUUUGACUGGGGCGGUCGCCUCCAAAAAGGUAACGGAGGCGUACAAAGGUUCCCUCAGACUGGUUGGAAAUCAGUCGAAGAGUGCAAAGGCAGAAGGGAGCUUGACUGCGAGAAGUACAGUUCGAGCAGGGUGGAAACACGGUCUUAGUGAUCCGACGGUGCUGUGUGGAAGGGCCGUCGCUCAACGGAUAAAAGUUACUCUAGGAUAACAGGCUGAUCUCCCCCAAGAGUUCACAUCGACGGGGAGGUUUGGCACCUCGAUGUCGGCUCAUCGCAACCUGGGGCGGAAGUACGUCCCAAGGGUUGGGCUGUUCGCCCAUUAAAGCGGUACGUGAGCUGGGUUCAGAACGUCGUGAGACAGUUCGGUCUAUAUCCGAUGUAGGCGUGAGAAUAUUGAGAGGAGCCUUCCUUAGUACGAGAGGACCGGGAAGGACGCACCGCUGGUGUACCUGUUAUGAUGCCAAUUGUAAACGCAGGGUAGCCAAGUGCGGAGAGGAUAACCGCUGAAAGCAUCUAAGUGGGAAGCCCACCUCAAGAUGAGUAUUCUGGUGUAAGGUCACGGGAAGACGACCCGUAAAUAGGCACGAGGUGGAAGUGCAGAGAUGUAUGAAGCCGAAGUGUACUAAUAGACCGUCGGC